rnacentral:rRNA from 1 species
UACAGAGGGGGCAAGCGUUAUUCGGAAUUACUGGGCGUAAAGCGUGCGCAGGCGGCUCCUUAAGUCAGAUGUGAAAGCCCCGGGCUUAACCUGGGAACUGCGUUUGAAACUGGGGAGCUAGAGUGUAGAAGAGGGGGGUGGAAUUCCAGGUGUAGCAGUGAAAUGCGUAGAGAUCUAGAGGAACACCGGUGGCGAAAGCGACACCCUGGCCCGCAACUGACGCUGAGGCGCGAAAGCGUGGGUAGCAAACAGG